rnacentral:rRNA from 1 species
CGCGACCCCAGGUCAGGCGGGACUACCCGCUGAGUUUAAGCAU